CCUACGGGUGACAGCAGUGGGGGAUAUUGCACAAUGGGGGAAACUCUGAUGCAGCGACGCCGCGUGGGUGAAGAAGGGCCUCGGAGCGUAAAGCUCUGUCAGUAGAGAAGAAAAUGACGGUAACUGACGAAGAAGCCCCGGCUAACUACGAGCCAGCAGCCGCGGUAAUACGUAGGGGGCAAGCGUUCUCCGGAUUUACUGGGUGAAGAGGGGGCGCAGACGGCGAUGCAAGCCAGGAGUGAAAGCCCGGGGCUCAACCCCGGGACUUCACUGGGAACUGAGUGGCUAGAGUGCAGGAGGGGCAGGCGGAAUUCCUGGUGUAGCGGUGAAAUGCGUAGAUAUCAGGAGGAACACCGGUGGCGAAGGCGGCCUGCUGGACUGCAACUGACGUUGAGGCCCGAAAGCGUGGGGAGCAAACAGGAUUAGAUACCCGAGUAGUC
rnacentral:rRNA from 1 species